rnacentral:rRNA from 1 species
AUGAAUUCAUUCUCGUCCAACGGAUUGUUCCGGUGCCGCAAGAGAAGCAAUUAUGACGCUCUGUCUUACAAUGAGCUUGACAUGGUCAACGACCUUGGUGACGACAGUGCCAUGAGCAACAUCAACGGUAUGUACAGGGCAACGUACCGAGUUCAGCCGCAUGACACAUCGAGGGCGGUGGUCGUGAAGAAGCUGCAGAACGAGAGUGGAACCGUGGACGCCAGUCUUGACGACCGAUGCCAGAAAGAGGUGAACUUGCUGGGCAGCAUUUGCCACGGCAACAUCAUCAGUCUUGCAGAUUGCAUUCGAAGGGACGACUCCAUCCUGCUCGUGUAUGCCCACGGGGAGAACGGCAGCCUCCACCAGUGGCUGCACCCCGUGGCCGAGGGGGGCCGGCAGCGCCCCCCGCUGGACUGGCCGACGAGGCGGGCCAUCGCCGUAGGCAUCGCCCGAGCGGUCUGCUACCUGCACCACGGACGCAACAACACCGUCGUGCAUCACAACAUCAACUCCACCAACAUCUUGCUAGACAGUGAUCGCAACCCCAAGCUCGCGGGUUUUGAUCUUGCACGGAUCAGCCUUGCCGGGCCUGACCAACCAGUGCCGGUUUCGGAGCUCACCGCCGGCAACAUAUUCGGGUACACGGCUCCAGAAUAUGCGACCGUGGUGACCGCGAAGGUCGACGUGUAUAGCAUCGGCGUGCUGCUACUUGAGCUCGUCACCGGGCGGGUGGCCAACGAAGCGGGUGUGGACGGCCACUUGGCAACCUGGGCAUGGAGACAUUGCAACCGCCUGAUGGAGAACGCUGGAUAUUUCAGCGACGUCGUUGACAUGGGUAUCCCGAAUCGAGUGCGGUACCACAAGGAAAUGGCGGCCAUGUUCAGGCUGGGCGUGGAUUGCACGGCCAAGGACCCGCGGGAGAGGCCAGCCAUGCCCAAGGUCCUCUGCCGCCUCCGCAAUCGUGGCCGCUGA